GGAUGUGAGGGUGAUCUGGCUGUACAUCCGUCACUCCACUGAUGACUCAGGUUGAUUCAGAUGAUCUCGUUGCCUUGGCAGGUGUCCUCUUCCUCCCUGGUCGCUCUAUGUACAGCCCUACAGGAGCUGCCUGCUUGGUCAGAGAGCAAGACCUUGCCUGAAUAGAACCUCUAACCAAGCUCUUAAGAACUGAGUUUUCUCUUCCACACAGAUCUGCUUCUCAGUGAUGAUGACUGGAUUUGAAUAGCAUGCCUCACGGAUGAAAGAAAGCUUGAACAAAAGCUAUCAUAUUACUCAACAAAAAAUUACAGGUAAUUGUUUUCCAGUU
ensembl:misc_RNA 7SK 7SK RNA